AAUCAGAAAGGUUGGUUUUAUGUUGCUUCACAUAUUGUUUAACACGAGAAACUACAAAGAUAUAAAAAAUAAAAUUGAAUGAGUCUGAUUUCUGUUUCUAAGAAAACACUUUGAAUCUUUAGACAACUGCCCAACAUGUAACGAGUCGCUUUGGAUAAAAGCGAAAUGACGUGUAAUGUAACGUGAGAGUCUUAUUACUGUCAUUGGAUGACAAUUACAUUUACACGCCCAAUUAAGUAUAUUUAUUAUUUUUAAUGAAAGGUGAAAUGUUAUUUAGGUUUAAAAAAGGGCCCCGAUUUCUUGUGAAAGCAUUGUAAUAUUAAGAGGUGAACGUCGCAGGCGGCACCCACCUGUCCCUGAGCAGGACCAUGGUGUACGAGUCCACGUCCCCCGGUGGCUUGUCCCACGAUGCCCGGAGCCUGCUGACCCCGGAGCUGCUCAGAGUGACGGCGCCCAGCGCCAUGGGAACUGGGACACGCGGCGGGUUUCAGUCCUUCGUUUCAAAUAAACACACGUUUAAUGAAGUAUGUGCACUAACUCACCCGUCCUCCCCUGCAGGGACACGGAGGCGUUGAGCGUCCCGCUCCUGGUUGUCACGGUGACGGUGUACAGCCUGCCGGGCACCAGCACGUUGAACGUGCACUCCCUGGUGUUUGGCUGCAGCUCCCUGGUAUCCAUGGUGACGCCGGCUACGACAAACAGGCGUCAAUCACAAUCAGAAAAUCAAUCAACUCGGACGAAAGUCGUCAAUUUAACGAUUAUGGUAUUUCACAAAAAAAACUAUAAUACAGACAGAUUUAUUGUCUUUAACCCUACUGGCCCCGGUACUUACCGUGGCGGAUGGUCAGGAAGUAGCUGUCACGUGACCCGGAGGGGGCGUGGCUCCACAUGGCGCUGAGAGACGUCUCGUCCGAGUGCCGUAUGUGGAGGUCGUCCACGGCGGCCGGAGCUGAAGAGACGGACAACGGGAUUGUUGACGUAUUACACGUGUUUAUCUACCAACAAGGCCGCCGCUCUCCACGCGCAGCACGGCUCUGUACGCCCUUCCAGGCGUUAGUCCCGUCCCGGGGAAGCUGAAGUUGGCGGCCUCUCGGCCCGGAGCGGCGCUGACUAACUGCUGGGCGCCGUCGAAUAGGAGCAGCCUGUAGCUCUCCCAGUGGCCAGGGGGGGGCGACCAGGAGAGGAGGAGGCCGCCGGGGGAGGAGGGCGAGAGAGAGAGCGAGAGGAGGGACGCCGCCGCCGGAGCUGCAGGGGAGAUGAAGACGAGAUGAAGACUCAAAGGAAACAAAAAGACAGCAGAGAAACAGCAUCCCGAGAAGCCGCUCACCUGUCCUCGCGGUGAGUUUUGAUUGGUUCAUCAGCUCGCCGCUCCUGGAGGUCACCUCCACCCGAUAGGCCGAGCCGGGGGUCAGCGGGCCAGCGGCGACCUCGGUUUGGUCCGGCCUCAGCGUCGCCUCCCAGGAGACCGUGCCGUUGGUCGACAGAGUGACCACGAGGGCGUCCAGAUCGCCCUCGGGCAGUUGCCACGACAACGACAGGCCGGUCCCGUUGCCGGGGUCGGCGGUGAGGUUGGCGACAGCGGCGGGAACUAGAGGACAAGGUUUAGAUCAGAUUGAGAUUCCUUCCGUCACCGCGGUAACGUUCUCGCUCUGUUCGCACCUGUCCGGGUCACGGUUGUCCGGCUGUUCUUCAGCCCGCCGGCCUCCGUCACCAUGGUAACGUUGUACAGCCGGCCCGGCGUCAGGUGGAGGAGUGUGCGGUUCGUCGCCGUGCUCUCCAACGUCUCGUUCCUCAGCAGACCUGCAGAAGAACAGGAGGCAUCAAAGGUCACGUGACUACAUGUGUAACCACUACAGGAAGUAGAAAAAUGUUUCCAUAAGUGUGUGUUUGGCGUCUUUGGCGUAGCGGUGCUCCGUCAGGUCCACUUCACCAGAAACGUACCAGUUAGGUCCCACAGCUGCAGCCUGAAGCGCUGCGUCCUCCCCGGGCCGGCCUGCCAGGAAAGGUCCAGGCUUCUGGAGGCCCUGAAGGUCACUGACAGGCUGCUGACCGCCGACGGCUCUGAGGACACAACACGCACACGCACACACACGCACACGCACACACACGCACA
ensembl:lncRNA